GAUGAACGCUGGCGGCGUGCCUAAUACAUGCAAGUCGAGCGAACGGACGAGAAGCUUGCUUCUCUGAUGUUAUCGGCGGACGGGUGAGUAACACGUGGAUAACCUACCUCUAAGACUGGGAUAACUUCGGGAAACCGGAGCUAAGACCGGAUAAUAUUUUGAACCGCAUGGUUCAAAAGUGAAAGACGGUCUUGCUGUCACUUAUAGAUGGAUCCGCGCUGCAUCAGCUGGUUGGUAAGGUAACGGCUUACCAAGGCAACGAUGCAUAGCCGACCUGAGAGGGUGAUCGGCCACACUGGAACUGAGAAUGGGUCCAGACUCCGACGGGAGGCAGCAGUAGAGAAUCUUCCGCAAUGGGCGAAAGCCUGACGGAGCAACACGGCGUGAGUGAUGAAGGUCUUCGGAUCGUAAAACUCUGUAAUUAGGAAAGAACAUAUGUGUAAGUACCUGUGCACAUCUUGACGGUACCUAGUCAGAAAGCCACGGCUAACUACGUG
rnacentral:rRNA from 1 species